rnacentral:siRNA from 1 species
AUAACCGUCCGGUCCCGGGGAUU